CCUUCCUGUUUGAGGACAAUUGAAUCCAAAGCAUGUCUGAAUAAGCUCUAGUUUCUGUAGCACUGGAGUCACUACAUCUUACUAUUUUGAAGGCUCCCUUAACAGAACCCUGAAUCUGAAGGGAUUGUGUGCCUGCUAGAUGUGCCCUGGGAAUGCAGAAGCUGUUCUCUAACCACUGAUGGGCGUUCAGGCCACCAAGCCAGAUACUUACUACUUGGAACUAAUACGAGGGAUGGACCUCCACUGUGUGGACUCAAGGCAGGCAUAGGUCUACAAACAAAAAGUGCUCGGGAAUGGGGUGGGGACGAAUAGGGACAGGAGAUGAAUGCCUUGUCAUGACUUUGCAUGUAGCUAAAUGAACCUGCCGCAGUGAUGGCAUCACAUGUCUAUACCAGUGUUAUUCUUUACCACUGUCUCCUGUGCAUUAGGCAGAAGCAUGUGCCACCUCCUUUUGUUGUUACUCGUCUUUUGUAGAUCUGAGAUGACUGCAUGUAAAAAACUCUCACCCUGUGCUAAUUACAGUGUCCAUCUUAGCAGGGUAAAAAUCAACGGAGCCCUCAAUUAGUGAAGUGUUGCUGGCAGGACAUGUGUGCCCUUAACAAACUAUAGUUAUGCCUGAGUGGUAAUGAAAGGCAGCACAAACCCCAGCAAAAUCCUAACUCAUCUGAAGCUAAUAGGAAUUUCAUCUCCACCAUGUCCAAGUUUUGUUUCUGGCUUAUUUAUGCAUUGCUGGUGGUGCUGGUCUUUGAUGUAGAUUACAAGAGAGCCCAUGAGGAAUUAUAUAAUGAAAAUAAUUUCAAGCCAUCCCUGCCCUAAUCUGGUGUUCAAGUGUAAGAAACUGGCAAUGGUAACAAUUUACUAAUCACUGCUAUAGGUUUGGUGUAUUUUAAACUCAGGAAUAUGGUUUGUCUUGAAGGUGCUCAGUAGAUAUCUCUCUAUAUGUGUGAACAUAGGUACAUCUUUGAUAGCACAUUUAUCUUGGAAAAUAAGUAAAUUGGGUUAAAUAA